AAAAAAUCGAAAAAAAAAUUAAAAAAAAUCGAAGUAUAUAAAAAAAAGGAGUGAAAAGUUUUGUGAGUUUUAUUUUGUUUUUAUUUCUUGUUGCUUCCGAGCAUCCAUUCAUUCUACCAUUCCCUCUACCCCCCAAAACGCACACAUACUUUGAUUUUUAUUUUCUUUGUUUAGCCUACCCUACACCCGACGUUAUCCCUUGUAACCCAUUUGAAGCCGAUCCUCUAAGCCGCAAUAAGUCUUCUUGAAACAAAAUACGAAUUCACGAGAGUGAGACGAGCGGAAAAAGGCACGAGUGGUGAGUAUAUUAGAGCGAGCAAAAGCCAUUUAACAAGUGUAAACACGAGUGGAGUGUUAUCCAAUUUUCUUUGUGAGUGAAAUUGUGAGGUUUGUGGUGAGCAACAAAAAUCAUGUCAUACGAAGAGUUCACCGAAUCAGAAUACCAAUACUUGGUUCAAGAAAAGCGAAGAAUGGCGACUAAACGAGACCAAAGUGAUCGAGUUUCUUCAAGUCGUAAAACGGAACCAAGAACCCCACGGAGAUAUACCCCCGACUACUACUUAAGAAAAAGUUCCUAUCGUGAUUCCUUUUCGCCAUCUACUACGAGACAAAGAGAUUUAUACUAUGACGCAUAUUCAUCAGCGAAUUCGAGAAGUGACUUCGAUCGAAAGUCCUUUUCAUCAAGAAAUU
rnacentral:lncRNA from 1 species